UAGAUAGAAAAGGGAGGGAUUGGAAACGAAUCACGUGUGCCGAACACUCCUUGUCUGCCGGAAGCAUAGAUCAAAGAGGGAAGUGAUCACUACUUAUACUUCCUCAAAAUAAAAAUUGUGUUCCAGCCAGCUGAUUUCGAGUAUAUGGCUUUCUAGUUCUCAAGAAUGGCUUUCUAGCUCAGGUCUACAUUUGCACUGUACAAUGGAAAGUAGUGCUCCGGCUCCAUUUCAGAGUAGGUUUAAGGAAGCUUUUAUGACUGUUUUGACAGAGAGUACAUAGAUUCAAAGCUUCAUCACCAGAGGAAGCAGUUGCCCUCAACACAGCUUCUGCGUUGAUAGUUAAUUUCGUUGGAGGGUUCUGAACAUAGUGUGAUGGUUCGGGCUGAAAUUCUACUCAGAAUUGAAGUCGUGACACUCUGCAGCAUCAUUUAAUUAUCAUGCACAGUUAAAUUUAUAGAAUUGAACAAUUAUUUAUCACAGUUAAGAAUUGAACAUGUGAAUGUGAUUGAAUUAACAUGUGAACAAUUGAUUUCUCUAUA